UGGGUCGUUUCCUCUCCAGAUCCGGCCUGUUAGGCCCAAUGGUGAGAACACCACAGCCCAGCGCCCAGCCAGUUUCGGCCUGCUCCGUUUUUUCCCUGAUCUAUGAAUUUCCUAAUUUUCCAGGGGAUUGACAGUUUUACAGAAAAGCCCUUCAAGUCCAUGCAUUUAAUAACUUAAUAACCAUGCAUCAUAUGUAAAAACUUCAAAUAUGAAAAUGCUUAAAAUUGUGUCUAGUUUCAUAAUAUGUCACUUUGACCCAUGUUUAAAAUGAUUAAAUUGCUAUUUGUGUAGAUUUACUCUUAUGCCACGCUAAAACGGUUUAAUUCAUAACUAAUUAACCGUAGCUCGGUUUUAAUUAAUCUUUAUAUGUAAAUGGGGUAGAAUUUUGCCUAGUUUAACAUGGUGGCUUUACUUUUCAUGUUAAAUAACUCUAAAAUUGUGUUUAGGGCAGAACAGUACCAAACCGUAAAAUAUGCACAUGAGGUUUUUCCGGAAUUGUUGUUUGUUAUUUCCGGCCUCAUUUAAACUUGCCUAGAUAGAUAGUUUCUUUAUGCUUCACUUCUUGCCAUGUUUAACAACAUUUAAUAUUGUUGGGUACAUAAACGAGAGAGAACUAAAUAAUUGAUGUGGUGUUCCGCCAAUAUGCAACUCGUUGCAUAUUGAGCUCCACUUAACUUGUAGUUUUGUUUGUGCCCUUUGCCAUGCCAUGCCCUCUUUAAACCGGACAUGCAUCAUACUUGUUUGCGCAUCAUGCCAUGCUUAUGUGGUGGUUGUUUACUAGGUUGUUUGCUCUUUUCCGGUGUUGCUUCUUCGGGUUGGUUCCGAUAACGUCGCGUUUGUGAGGAUCCGUUCGACUACGUCCGUUUGUCUUCUUCAUGGACUCGUUCUUCUUCCUUGCGGGAUUUCAGGCAAGAUGACCAUACCCACGAAAUCACUUCUAUCUUUGCUUGCUUAGUUGCUCACUCUUUUUCUAUGCCUAUGCUGUGAUACCUACCACUUGCUUAUCAUGCCUCCCAUAUUGUUGAACCAAGACUCUAACCCACCUUGUCCUAGCAAACCGUUGUUUGGCUAUGUUACCGCUUUGCUCAGCCCCUCUUAUAGCGUUGUUAGUUGCAGGUGAAGAUUGAAGUUUGUUCCUUAUUGGAACAUGGAGAUGUUGUUCCUUGUUGGAACAUGUUUACUUGUUGGGAUAUCACAAUAUAUCUUAUUUAAUUAAUGCAUCUAUACACUUGGUAAAGGGUGGAAGGCUCGGCCUUAUGCCUGGUGUUUUGUUCCACUCUUGCCGCCCUAGUUUCCGUCAUACCGGUGUUAUGUUCCCGGUUUUUGCGUUCCUUACGCGGUUGGGUUAUAAUGGGAACCCCUUGACAGUUCGCUUUGAAUAAAACUCCUCCAGCAAGGCCCAACCUUGGUUUUACCAUUCGCCACCUAGCCUUUUUCCCUUGGGAGUCGCACAUCCCGAGGGUCAUCUUUAUUUUACCCCCCCGGGCCAGUGCUUGUCUAAGUGUUGGUCCGAAAUGGGCAGCCUGCGGGGCCACCUCGGGGAAACUUGAGGGCUGGUUUUACUCGUAGCUUGACCUAUCCGGUGUUGUCCUGAGAACGAGAUAUGUGCAGCUCCCAUCAGGAUGUCGGCGCAUCGGGCGGCUUUGCUGGACUUGUUUUACCAUUGUCGAGGAUGUCUUGAAGAACCGGGAUACCGAGUCUGAUCGGAAUGUCUCGGGAGGAGGUCUAUUCCUUCGUUGACCGUGAGAGCUUGUCAUGGGCUAAGUUGGGACACCCCUGCAGGGAUUUGAACUUUCGAAAGCCGUGCCCGCGGUUAUGGGCAGAUGGGAAUUUGUUAACGUCCGGUUGUAGAAAACCUGAAGUCGACCUUAAUUAAAAUGAAUCAACAGCGUGUGUUACCGUGAUGGUCUCUUUCCAGCGGAGUCCGGGAAGUGAACACGGUGUUGGAGUUAUGCUUGACGUAGGUCGUUUAGGAUCACUUCUUGAUCAUACUUUUAUCGAACGUGCUUUGCCUUCUCUUCUCGCUCUCAUUUGCGUAUGUUAGCCACCAUAUAUGCUAGUCGCUUGCUGCAGCUCCACCUCAUACCUUUUACCUUACCCAUAAGCUUAAAUAGUCUUGAUCGCGAGGGUGCGAGAUUGCUGAGUCCCCAUGGCUCACAGAUACUUCCAAAACCAGUUUGAGGUGCCGAUGAGACCGAGCAGAUGGCGCAACCAAGCUCAGGAGGAGCUCUAUGAAGAUCUUGUCCUUUAUGUUGUUCCGUUCUAGUUGAUCAGUAGUGGAGCCCAGUUGGGGUCGAUCGGGGACCUUGUCGCAUUUGGGGUUCUUCUUUUAUUUUGGUUCUGUAGUCGAACCUUGAUUGUAUUUGGAUGUUGUAAUGCUUUAUUCAUGUAAUUGUGUGAAGUGGCGAUUGUAAGCCAACUAUGUAUCUUUUUCCCCUUAUGUAUUACAUGGGUUGUGUGAAGAUUA
rnacentral:lncRNA from 1 species